AUCAACGACAUGAGUCGCAGCAUCGGAUGCGACACAAAUCACAAACUGCACUCGCGGCAGUAGUUGCCAGUAUUUUGAAAAAAACACAAUUAAAAUAAAUUUUAAGUGAGCAUAAACAUUGUGUUCGUCAUGUUCCUCUCUGAAUAUUUGUGCUAAGGUGUUCGGAGAUCAUCAUACAUUCUCUCCAUUUGAAAAAUUUCCCUAAUUUCCCUGGUUCGUUAUUUUAUUAAUAGAUUUACAAUAAGCUACAAAUUCUUGAUAGAAAAAUAUUUCUUGGUAAUAUUCUUCAACCUUAGGCCUCAUUAUAUUGCACUAUAUUUUUGCCUGAAAUAUACUGAUCCGUAUUUUAAGUAGCUUAUCGUGCAGAAGUGUAUACUGCUAAUUCUUAUUUGCAUAUAUAUAUAUAUAUAUACUUUUUUAUAUUAAGAAACUGACGAAGCUACAAAAUUUACAUAAUUUUUUACAUAAUUUAUAUUAGGUUAGUAAGAAAUAAAGAAACAAAAACAGUGUACAAUUUGCUCAACAAUCAAAAACAUACCACAACACCAGUAGGGAAUAUAGUGAGCCGAUUCGAACAAUUGCAAUGAUCCGAAAAACGGACAUAUGUACGUUAUCUACAUGGUACUCAAAUAAUACAUACGAAUAAAUUCGUCAAGAUGUAACAGGCAGAAGGAAAAGUUUCCUUACAGUUUCCCCUCCGUUUUGCACUGUGUAUUUGUGUAUUGCACUAAAUUAAGUUGGCUUUUUGCCUGCACCCACCCCCUCAAAUCUCCGGAAUUAUCAUAUCUACCAGAUUACGGAAACAAGAUGAGAUAAGAUGAAAACGUCCAGUAGCUGACUGCCCUGCCUUGGCCUCGGUAACUAUUUCUUUCUCGAACAGUGUUGCGCCCUGGCGGAUUGAAUGAUAGAACGGCCGGAUGUUACUUUGUUGGUGCAAAGAGGGCGAGUGAGACGUAACGGACGGCGCGUUAUCCAAAAAAUAUUAACUGCAUAGAUAUCCAAGUUAUAGGACUUUAAACCUAUUCCUUGUUUAAUUGUUUUUUAUUGAAUCUGAAUAAAAAUACAACAUUAAACAAUCAGAAAUUCAUAGGCUCGUUUAUUGAAAAUUUACCGUCAGAUCAGGAUCAUCAGGAUGGAAUUCCUCUAGACGGAGAGGCGAAGGAGGAUGAAUUUCAGUUAACAGAAUUUGUAAAAAAAAGAAUGCUCCACCCAACAAAAUAUUUUAAUAUAAAGCUUCGGAGCGCCGUUUUACAACUUCGCCCCGGGCACAAAUUUUUCUUGGCACGGCCUUGCUUACAAAUAAAAAAAAUUAUAUAGGAAUGCAUUUUUAAUAUUUUGUUGCAUAUCCUUUAACCGGGGGUUUACUUACUUGUAUAACAUGGUGUUAAAUUAGCGUGGCUUAUAAAGCUGCGAAAUGUUCAUCAACAUUUUCUGGGGUAGUUUCAAAAUUAUCUUAAUACACCUUUUGGUAGAAUGCGCGCCUUGUGUUACAUAUUUCAAUGGAAAUGGAAAGAGGGCAGGACAGGUCUCCAAGCGUCAGGACUGGUUUAUUUGUGUGCGUCAUCGUUAUUCUCGUGUUUUCUUUUACGUUUUUUUUUCUCGACUUUUCGGGCCAAUAAGACAAUAUAUAUAUAAAAAUCUCGUGUCACGGUGUUUGUGGAUGAACUCCUCACAAACGGCUCGACCGAUUCUUAUGUUGUAUAUUAAGUAGGUCGUUAAAUAUUUUUGGUCUUCAUAUGUUUGUGUUUUUUUUUAUCAAGUAGGGCUUUGAUUUAGUUGUCAGUAUGUUUUGUGAUAUAAUCUCGAUCUUAUAUUUGUUUGAGUGUUUUUUUUAUGUUUUUUUAUGAUUUCGGUCAACUUUUUUUACACACUAAACAAUGUCAGCAUGACGCAAGGGGCCCAGUCGCACCAUUCGCAAAUAAAAUGUGUGCUUCCAAAUGACAUCGUUCGGAGCAACAGAAAUAGUCAACAAUACUGCGGCAAAUGGUCAACAUUUAAAAUCAAUGGACAAGUUUACCACAAAGUAGGCUCAUAGCUGCCAUUGUCACAUCAGUUUUUAUCAAAUAUACUUCGUGGGUGGAGAGGAUAUAAAUAGCGAAAUCGCGUAGAUGUACGUUGCGGUGACUAUAACCUCAAUUCGUUGAAUGGCAAUUUGAUAAGGGCGGAUCAAUUUGUAUGGAAAAAAAACCUGAUAAGCGACCACCAGAAUCGGAUUCUACAAAGAAUUUUAAGAAUCUUUCACCCAAAAACUAUGUUUCUAACAUCAAUUCUUAGCUCCCGCUGAGAAGCGGUGUGAUGAUUUCAGAUUGCAGUAUUUUUUAGUAGUUUAAGGAAUUUAAGGUAUUUUUGUUUAGUAUUUUAAGAAAUUUAAGGUAUUACAAAAAAUAACACAUUUUUCGAUCAUGUUGGGCUCAAAUCGGAUGCAAUAAAUAAAAGUAGGCAUGGACCUACUACAUGGGUCCAUACCCACUUAGUAUUUGGCUUUCAACGAAAAAAAGUGUGCUUAUUUCAAUCUUACUGAACUUUUUAAAUACGCUUGUAUCAGUGGGAUAUCACAUGAGUUUGGAAACAAAAUUUGGUU